UGACCCCAUAUGCCCUAUCCCUAACCCGCUCUCGUCUCCCUCAGACGCAGCCGGCCGCGGAAUCGAUCUCAUCUCCGAUCUCCCUGCCGCCGACUCUUCGUAGCCGCCACCCACGUACGAGUUCGUACGUUACCGCCGUCGUCGUCCUAAGGUAGACGCCGCGGCCGCGUCUCCAGGGCAGGGCGGCUUGAAUCCCUGUCGCCAGGAUCGCCCCCGCCGACGUCCGAGGGGGAGACGACACCGCCGCGGUGAUGGUACGUUUCAUACGUAGUUCGUUUCGUUCGUCUCCACUAUCGUAAUUCAUUCCGAGGAACCCAUCUCGCCACCGUCGCCUAGACCCGCCCAGCUGGCGCAUCGCCGUUGUCCGUCGUCCUGCACUAAGCUUGACGUCGCCCGCCUCCGUCCUCCCCAUUCUCAAAUACUCCUUUCUCAGGCGACGCUGUUGCCGGGGCAGCGAGAUUCCUUUGGUUUUGUUGUUCAGAGACUGCAAAAUUUGGGGAGAAUGAGUUUGUGUGUUCCACAAGCAUCAAGGUUCUUCAGUACAAUGCUCAAGCGAUGUGAUGCUCACGGAAGAGGAGGUCAAGGAGGUAGAUGCGCUGAUAAUGCAUUGAUACAUGUAUGAUAUGUGCCCGCAAAAAGUUAGUGUAACAAAAAUCUCACACCCAGUUUUAAUUUUGCAACUUAUUUUAUUGCCUGUAGCAACACACAGACAUUUUGUUUCAGAAAUCAGUAGUAGUAAAUUACUGAAAACCUUGUGUUUGAUUUGAUUUAAGUUCUCAGCUCAUGCAGGGGUGGGCAACAAAUCGUCUUUCACUUGCAUCUCGUCAGUCGGUAAAUCUGCAGUUUUUGAAUGAGAAUACCCUAAAUUUAGAGGACAACUUCGCAAUGGCAAUCCGUUGUGGGACCUUAUUGAAGGACGGGAGGAAAAUGAAUUAUUGCACUAUACAAAAUUGUUAACCGGUUACAUCGGCUAUGGUUCCUUCCUUUUUAGAAUAGAAUUGCCGACAGAUGAUCACUCAAUCAUGUUCUUAUAUAUGGUAACCUUUUCUCACCAUCCAUUAUCCGUGCGGUUAUUCCUUUUGUACAAAAAUCUUACCAUUAGGGAAUACUGUUCACAACUGCUCUGCUAUUUGUGACUCGGUUCUAGGCGAUGAAGGCAAACUAUCUGUUUAUUAGGAUUUAAUAUUUGUUUACCAAGUGAAAGUAAUGAACCCAUUUCAACAUACUAAGUGUAUCUUUAUGAGAUCAAAUGCUUGGAAUUACGAGUAUGGUUUCAGCAUGUUUACAGAAAAAUGCAUUGUUUUACUCUACUCAUCCGUUAUUGACGACUUCUAUAAGGCCAUGUAUUUUGUUGAUAUUACUUCGAGGGUAACCUAUGGAUGAUGAUCGAGAAUCAGUUCUAAAUUCAAAUCAAGUGCAACUUUUCUCUGUAUUAGUACUGAAACCAUGAUAAUAUUCUCAGUGUAUGAUCCUACAAAUAAACCAUUGCAUUUCUCAUUCUUAGCAACAUUUGUAGAUCCUUAGCAACUCUUGCACUGUUACUGCAUCAUCAUGCAAGGUACUGUUUUGUAUUGGAUUUUGUUUCUCAUGCUUGCUAAAAAUUUCAUUCAUGUAUUUGAUUUCCUUUUCACUAUUAGAUGUUGAGAGCCUAAAGAAUGCACUAGAAUAGCGAUGUGAUGCUCACGGAAGAGGAGGUCAAGGAGGUAGAUGCGCUGAUAAUGCAUUGAUACAUGUAUGAUAUGUUCUCGCAAAAAGUUAGUGUAACAAAAAUCUCACACCAAGAUUUAAUUUUGGCAACUUAUUUUAUUGCCUGUAGCAGUGCAAAGACUUUUUGUUUCAGAAAUCAGUAGUAGUAUUUGAUUUGAUUUAAGUCUUAGUUCACGCAGGGGUGCGCAGCAAAUCGUCUUUCACUUGCAUCUCGUCAGUCGGUAAAUCUGCAGUUUUUGAAUGAGGUAUAUAGUCGAAUUGUUUGGUACAGUGUGCAAUAUGUUUGACACUCCUAAAUAUUAAUCAAUAUGAUGUAUCAGAAUACCCUAAAUUUAGAGGACAACUUCGCAAUGGCAAUCAGUUGUGGGACCUUAUUGAAGGACGGGAGGAAAAUGAAUUAUUGCACUAUACAAAAUUGUUAACCGGUAUUUGACCAUUACGACUUCUUCCCAUCCUUCAUAUAUCAAAGAAAAAACAAGUCAAUUUGUCUUCACUCUUCACUGGUAUUUCAUUGUGAUGGCAGGCCCUUAAUCAUCAUCUCCUUUUAAUUCAAACAUAAUGCUUUAUAUGCAAAGAAGCAUGCUAUUUGCUUAUUUUUCUCGAAUGUUUUGUUAAGUGACAUGCUAUUUAUUGUAUUCAGGUUACAUCGACUAUGGUUCCUUCCUUUUUAAAAUAGUGCUAUAAAUCGUCGACAUAUGAUCAAUCAGUCAUGUUCUUAUAUAUGGUAACCUUUUCUCACCAUGCAUUAUCCGUGCGGUUAUUUCUUUUGUACAAAAAUCUUACCAUUAGAGAAUACUAUUCACAACUGCUGCUGUUUGUGACUCGGUUCUAGGGGAUGAAAGCAAACUACCUGUUUAUUAGGAUUUAGUAUUUGUUUACCAAUAGAAAGUAAUGAACCCAUUUCAUCUUACUGAGUGUAUCUUUAUGAGAUCAAAUGGUUGUAAUUACAAAUAUGGCUUUCUCAACAUGUUUACAGAAAAAUGCAUUGUUUUACUCUACUCAUCCAUUAUUGACGACUUCUAUAAGGCCAUCUAUUUUGUUGAUAUUACUUCGAGGGAACAGGGUACACUACGGAUGAUGAUCGAGAAUCAGUUCUAAAUUCCAAUCAAGUGUAACUUUUGCCUGUAUUUUACUGAAACCAUGAUAAUAUUCUCAGUGUUUGAUCCUACAAAUAAACCAUUGCAUUUCUCAUUCUAGCAACAUUUUUAGAUCCUUAGCAACCCUUGCACUGUUACUGCAUCAUCAUGCAAGGUACUGUUUUGUAUUGGAUUUUGUUUCUCAUGCUUGCUAAAAAUUUCAUUCAUGUAUUUGUUUUCCUUUUCACUAUUAGAUGUUGAGAGCCUAAAGAAUGCACUAGAACUAUUAGAUGUUUUCCUUUUCACUAUUAGAUGUUGAGAGCCUAAAGUCAUCUGAUGGCUUUCAAGAGAGUGCAUUCGGCGGAGCAGGUGGCAUCCUAUUCCUCUCCUUAGAUGUCAUUGUCUAUUCUCGUGCGACCCUGACUACUCCGCGAUCUCCCGCCUGUGAUCCACCUGUGCAAGCAAAUUUUAUGCCAAGGAUAUCUCUUUAUUCUUGCGGCCAAGGCGGAAGAAGCCCUGGAUGCAAAUGGAGAGCCUCCUCUGCCAUCUCAGCAUCAGCCGUAGGACGACGCUACACCUUAGCGCGGUGGACAGCUCAAAGGCCGCUUCUGAUGAGAUCAUCAAUCUCAAAGAUAUGGACCUCUCGAACGACAAUGCCAUUGUUGUUGUAAAACAUGGUGAUGGUGUUUCAGUUGAAAUAGGAAAGGGCAGUCGACCCGAGGCUACCCUUAUUCAGGUUUCAAUACAGGGCAGUGCCUUUAUCGAUGGAAGCCGUAUCCUCUGACAUAAGUAACUUAUUCCUCCUUAUUUAUAUCUUAUAUCUUCAACUGCAAUGACAUCAAAACAGUGUCAGGAUUAUAGACAUGUAUCGUCAUUCGAAUA